AGGAAUCGUUGGGACACCAGUUCACAGGAGGUGGCCAAUAUGGGUUCUGCCUGUAUGCCUGGUAGAAAUCCCGCAGCUGCAUAUCCCUCGCCCGUAUCCACUGCCGAAGAAUCAUCACAACCGCUGCAGCAAACCGGCUGAAAGCAGGAAUCAGCACAUAUGCCUGCGAAAAGAUAAGUAGAUUCUGCUUUCUGAUGCUUCCGGCAAGAGAUUAGCCCACUAAAAUUCACAGGUGUGUGUGCAUUCAAAAAUUGGCUCAGACUUAGCACUACAAUGGCAUUAUGCUUGAUCUGUACUCCAAUGAUGCAUUUCUCUAUAUAUUUCUUGUACACACACUGUAUUGCAGUCGUUCCAAAGUCUUACAUCAAUGUGCACUAUCCCAGUGCCAAAGAGCUGAAGUUUACAUUCAAUCUGCCAAGACAAAGAAAACAGAAUAAAAGGAAGACAAAACAGAAAGGAAAGACUGCUACUCGCGGGAAUGUUGCUGCGGUGUGGCUGCUCAACCACUGACUGGCACUCAAGAUUCGCUGCGCAUCCUCACAAGGCUUGUCUGUGAUUUUCCCGACUUCACCUGCUUUUUGGCAAAGUCCCUGACAAUCCCCUGCCUUUUCCAGUCACAUUAAAAUUCCCUGACAAUUCCUGGUUUUCCAGGUGGUUCUGCCGGCAGCGGUACGACGACAGAAGCAGACGACAAUUCCCGACGUGCCUUACGCUCCCUAGGUGGCGUUCAUCAAAUUUGCACCAAAAAUCUACUAAUUUUGCAGAUUACGAGAGGUAUCCAUUUCAAUCCCAUCCAAUCCACUUGCCACCCAAAAUGGCACUGCCCAUGUUGGAUACGGGGACAAAUAGAGAGGAUAGGUUUAUUGAUAGCGCCCCAUAUUUCAAGACUUCAUUGGUCAGAAAGCUGAAAAAGUGGGGAGAGCUUCAGGUAUAGGCAUGACCCAUUAAUGGCCAGACUCCCUUUUAAUAUACGGCUCUGGUCUGGCGCGAAGAGCCGCUCUUGUGUUUCCUUCCUCCAUGGUAAAAACGAUGAUGUUUCACGAAGUUUGACCUGUGCCUCACCCGAUGAUCGAAAUAUUUUUUUUUUUGCGCUUUGGUGGCGUUUUACACCAUAACUCUUUCAGAACACACGGAAAACACAUAAUAUGAGCCAAAAAUGCGAUUUUCAGAAAUUCUUUUUUUUUUUUUUUUACAUUUUUCGAUGAUCGAUCACCACAUCCCCCUUUAAGGAGAUUCCGAGAGCCUGGUUCCUGGAUAAUACUGUACGAAUGCACCUCGUUAAUGAUGAAUGUUGCAAUUUUCUCAGUUAUCAUUUUUGUCCAUGAAGACGCCAACGACAGUUUCAGUUUGAAACUACUCAAGGACGCAGUGCAUGUAAAUUAAUUCCUAUGUUUCUUUACAGCCAACCUGUGCAUUGGCACUUGUGUUCUUAAGCUUUCAAGGUGUUGAAACUGAGCAUAAUGUCAUCUUAUAUGGUUCACAAGCAGAGUAGUUCAUUCAGUGUGUCACAGUCCUUAACAAUGAGCCACAUGUUGAACACUGAUGUUGAAAACUUUAAAUUAGACUUAUAAGUGGUGCCCAAUUCCGUAGCAGUUGUCACUUGAUUACCAUGUUGGAGACCAAAAGCUGCCCCGAACACAAGUACCAAAUACAACGCGGAAGAUUUUCAAACAUAUAUGUAUUUAGAAAAGAAAAAAAAUUGAAUAUCAUACAUGGAAUUCAUCACAAUGCAAACUGGAGCAGCACCUUAGUUCUGCCAGAAGUAAAAACAAAAACGCACACUUCAAAUUAUAGUGCCAGCACGAUACAAACUGGAGAAAAUCUGGGCCCAUGUAUUUACGUGCCCAAUACCAUAGGUAGCUGUGCCAGUGCAUCAGCGGCUUUAUCCAUUUCGUACUGCCUCGAAUGGUGGGGCGCCGCGUCCGAAAACUAAACUGAUUAAAUGAACGAAAAACUGAGGUCAUCUUUUAAUCGUCACGCACCAGUUAGUCUGUGCCCUCUCUCUUUUGUCGAACUAAACUGAUGUUGCAGGUAUUGUGAAAUGACGUCAAAUACAACGGUUGAAAGAUGACAUGCCCAGUAAAGAUACGAGACAUCACAAGUGCGCACUCUACGGUCAUAAAGUGGUGGUGCCCUCCACGACACAAAAAGGACUAGGCAUCCCUGAACACUGACACCUUAUCUCUAAGCGAUAUUUGAAACAAAUUUAUAAUAUUCUCGAAUAUGAAUCGCUAUUCCAUUCAACACCAGAACUGAAUACCAUAAUCUGAUACUUGAUUUGAUUUGAUAUUUGAAACUUGAGAAUAUUCACAAAGAGAUGUGAUGACACCCACACCAGAUAAUUUUCGUUUUCAAGGCCCCUCGUCUAAUCACCAUCUUACGGUGCGCAGGAUAGCUGCCGAGGCCAAGAGACGAAGACCCUCGCUUGCAACAUCCAUAAAUGCGAAGGUCACCUUUGGCUGUCCUGUCAGUCCUACUACUCGCCGAGAGAUGGCAAUCAGAUUAGGAAGCUCAAAAGACGAACACUAUCUGGAUGCUGCCUUC